GUCAAGUCAUCAUGGCCCUUACGCCCAGGGCGACACACGUGCUACAAUGGCCAGGACAGAGGGCUGCGAAGCGGUAACGUGGAGCGAAUCCCAGAAACCUGGUCCAAGUUCGGAUUGUGGGCUGAAACUCGCCCACAUGAAGCCGGAAUCGCUAGUAAUCGCGGAUCAGCCAUGCCGCGGUGAAUACGUUCCCGGGCCUU
rnacentral:rRNA from 1 species